AAUAUACUCCCUCUGUUCCGAAUUACUUGUCGCAGAUAUGGAUGUAUGUAGAUGUAUUUUAGUUCUAGAUACAUCCAUUUCUGCGACGAGUAAUUUGGAACGGAGGAAGUACUUU
rfam:Triticum aestivum genome assembly, contig: Triticum_aestivum_CS42_TGACv1_scaffold_528273_6DL